rnacentral:rRNA from 1 species
GACGAACGCUGGCGGCGUGCUUAACACAUGCAAGUCGAACGGAAAGGCCCUGCUUUUGUGGGGUGCUCGAGUGGCGAACGGGUGAGUAACACGUGAGUAACCUGCCCUUGACUUUGGGAUAACUUCAGGAAACUGGGGCUAAUACCGGAUAGGAGCUCCUGCUGCAUGGUGGGGGUUGGAAAGUUUCGGCGGUUGGGGAUGGACUCGCGGCUUAUCAGCUUGGUGGUGGGGUAGUGGCUUACCAAGGCUUUGACGGGUAGCCGGCCUGAGAGGGUGACCGGCCACACUGGGACUGAGACGCGGGCCAGGAUCCUACGGGAGGGCACAGUGGGGGAUAGUGCAAAAUGGGCGGGAGGCUGGAGCAACAACGGCGGGUGGGGGGUGAACGCCUUUCGGUUGUAAACCGCUUUCGCCUGUGACGAAGCGUGAGUGACGGUAAUGGGUAAAGAAGCACCGGCUAACUACGUG